UGAGUGGGCCAGGCGUUCGCGGGCUCUCUGAGCCUGAGGAAAGUCCGAACUCCACAGGGCGCGAUGCUGGGUAACACCCAGGCGAGGCAACUCGACGGAAAGUGCAACAGAAAGUCAGUCGCCCGGUUGAACAAGCCGGGUCAGAGUGAAACGGUGGUGUAAGAGACCACCAGCGGUACUGGUAACAGCACCGGCUCGGCAAACCCCAUCGGGAGCAAGAUCAAGCAAGAGGCGCAAGUGGCAACACCUGCCGGGGCUGCCCGUCCCGAUGCCUCGGGUAGAUCGCAUCAGACGGCGAGUAAUCGCCGCCGCAGAGAGAUGAACGCCGCCCUGCCAGGCAGGGCACAGAAUUCGGCUUAUCGGCCCACUCUUUGG
rnacentral:RNase_P_RNA from 1 species